rnacentral:lncRNA from 1 species
GUAGAGACGGGGUUUCACCGCAUUAGCCAGGAUGGUCUCGAUCUCCCGACCUCGUGAUCCGCCCGUCUCGGCCUCCCAAAGUGCUGGGAUUACAGGCUUGAGCCACCACGCCCGGCCUUAUUUAUCUAUUUUUUUAUUGUCAAAUAACAUAUAGCUCUUUUUCUGUUUGCCAUUUGAGGUCAGGUACUUGCUAUCCUUUUGUAGUGGUAAGGCAUUUUUCACUCCAAUUUAGUGUAAAUCCUUAGUCUCUGGCGCUAUGAGCCUGUAGGUAAUGUUUUUAUUAAUCAUCAAUCAUUUUCCUCUUUCCUACUUAUACAGGUCUUGUGUGUAACCUGCAAGAUUCUGUACAAGAAAAAUGCCCAUCAUAAGUAAGAGAUCGUAACCCCCUCUUGUUUUUUUCCUGUGUCUCCUAAAUAUACUCCUAUCAACCAUGUCACAUCACGUUACAUGUUCCUGGAUAAUUUCACUUUCAUUAAGGAACCGUAUUGAAGCCUAUAUCCUCAAAAGUGUAUGCAACUCCUUCUGUCUCAACAAGAGGUACAAUCUGUGUUAUCCCCUUAUCGGCAGAACUGUAUCAUGUCUCUUUAUACCACUGUCACUUCUAAUAUGGCUCUUAUAUGGUAGGUGCUCAAAAAUAUUUUGAAUGAUAAUGAUGUUGAAUAUUUUAGG